CCUUCCUGAGCGUGCUGUGAGGAGCGUUGGGCCUGAGACGGGUGUGUUUAUUCAAUCCCGGUUCUUUCUGACCACUUGAGACUCACCAGGGAGAAAUAUGAAUGGGCAAGGGGCAUCAACACUGGGACCUGUAGAUCCAGAUUGCUCCCGGCUGGAUGAACGUGUGGUUGACCCGCAGCCCAGUGUUGAGCAACCUCAAGAAGAGGAACCACCAGCUGAGAUUCAGGAUAUCACACCUGAAAAGGAGGAAGUAACUGGAAAGGAUCCAGUGAAUCCUGAUGAAGAGAAGGAGAAGGAUGCCUCUGAAGAUUCUGUCCUGGAAACUGAUCUCCGGGAAUUGGCUGUGGCAAAGACUGGGGGUCAGGGUGGAGAUGGUCCUGAUGUCAAGGAGGAGAUUGCAUCAAAGAGAGAGCCUGUUGAAAUGCCAGAAGCAGGUGAAGGGCAACCAUUUCCUUGAAAGAAGAUAAA